rnacentral:rRNA from 1 species
GAUUUCUGGUAUGGUGCGCCUGACCCACGGUUGCAAAACCGCGAGUGCCGGUGUGCGCCUGCCAUCUUUCUAGUUAACUGGACGCACUUAACUGGGCGGUCAGCGAUCUAGUUCUUUUACUUUGAAAAAAUUAGAGUGUUUAAAGCAGGCUUGCGCUAUGAAUACAUUAGCAUGGAAUAAUAAUUUAGGACUUUGCUCUUAUUUUAUUGGUUUCUAGGAGUUAAGUAAUGAUUGAUAGGGAUAGUUGGGGGUGCUAGUAUUCAUCGGCCAGAGGUGAAAUUCUUGGAUUCGAUGAAGACUAACUAAUGCGAAAGCAUU